UACGUAGGGGGCAAGCGUUGUCCGGAUUUAUUGGGCGUAAAGAGCGUGUAGGCGGCCAGGUAGGUGGGUUGUGAAAACUGGAGGCUCAACCUUCAGACGUCGACCCAAACCCCCUGGCUAGAGUCCGGAAGAGGAGAGUGGAAUUCCUGGUGUAGCGGUGAAAUGCGCAGAUAUCAAGAGGAACACCUGAGGCGAAGGCGGGUUGCUAGGCUGACACUGACGCUGAGUGCGCGAAAGCCAGGGGAGCGAACGAG
rnacentral:rRNA from 1 species